rnacentral:tRNA from 5 species
AUUAGCUCAGUCGGUAGAGCAUCUGACUUUUAAUCAGAGGGUCGGAGGUUCGAAUCCUCCAUG